GGAGGGCAUGGCAACCCACUCCAGUGUUCUUGCCUGGAGAAUCCCCAUGGACAGAGGAGCCUGGAGGGCUACAGUCCACAGGGUCACAAAAAGUCGGACACAACUGAAGUGAGUUAGCACGCACGCAUACAUGUGAUAUGUAGAACAUUUUUAUACUAAAAAAGGAGUUUAUCUCAAAUUUCAGUUUCACCAGAGGUCUUGAAUUUUGUCUGGCAACCCUGUUUGUGAGGUAUGAGAAGGGAAGUGGUCAGCCUGGGCCGGUAAAGGGCCGUGAGGGAGCCGGGGAGAAUCGCAGGUCUGCAGCAGGCACAGGGCAGCGCCUAUCUGAGCCUUGGGCUGGCUGGACCCUUUGGCUACCAAACCUCAUACAGUUAUCACCUUCUUUUCAAAAGUCCACAUUCUGCCAUUUCGCUUUUAUGAAAGGCUUACAUUAAUACCUGUUUUCACUAACCAAAAGAAAUCUGAAGAGGAUUUUCGCUAUUCCAUGAAAAGAGGUGAAAAUCGAAAACAGCAUUGGGGGAUCGUUUGGCAGCGAACAAACUGAAUGCAAUAGCAAAAAGCCCGAGGGAAGACGUCCAGGAACCGGAGAAGCCGUUGACUGAGGUUUUCACUGUGAUUGCCAGGGCUGCAAUGAUUACCGGAAAACAGGACUAAUUUUGAAACAGCAUGUAGGUUUAGGGCAGCUUUGCACGUUGACUGCCUACUGAGGGCUCUAUGAUAGAACAACGUGUGAGUCUAAGCAGUCAAGCUUACUGUCCUAUUCCCAGCCUUCCUCACCAGCCACGCCAGCCACAUCAGCAACAUCAGGUACAGCAGACAGCGACCCUGACCUUUGACUUCGAGGCAAGCAGACCUAGAAGACACAGCUGUCAGUGACCUGCCUGCCCUGAUGGAUUCAGACGUGGUGAGAUGUUAUUAGAUGAACCGCUUCCUCUCGGUCCUGCACCCCAGUCUCAGUCUUCCUCCCCCGCCGCCACCAAGACCGACCCCAACCCACCGUCAUGACCACCUCUCGGCCUCCCAGUGUGUGCUAUCUUCCCCAUUCUGGUCUACCCCUGGCCUCACCGGCCUACCCUUCACCAGCUGCUUCUGCAGAGAAGUACGAGCUGGACCAGGAGCUACACUGACCACCUGCCUGGCAGGGCCAGCACGGCUGCUCCCACCCAGCUUGGAGGACGCAGGGACUGUCUGGACCGGGUUGUCGGCCUGCACAACGCCCCCCCCAACACAUCCCAGAGACCCCAUGGGGCCGGCCCUGCUCCCAGGAGCUCCCUCCCCUAGGAGAGGCUGAAUCUGAGGGGAGAUGCUCCUGAAAGGGGGCUCCUUGGGAGACCGAGGCCCCCCCUUCCUCAGGGCCAGGUUGGGGGACACUCAGAGCCUGUGCGUCUCUGCAGCUCGGGGCUGAGGCCCUGACAGCCCCUGUGCUGCCCUGCCAUCGGGAGCCCUCCUGGGGGGUGGGUUCCUUUCUUCCAGGGUCCUGGGCUGCUACUCAGCCCCUACCUCUGGCUCUGCUGGUACGGACCCCUCCCCGUUACUGUGAGUGCGCCCCUCCUGGGGACGAGGCUGGGGUUCCCGCCGCUUUCUCAGCCCUGCCUGGCCAUGGCCCUCUGCUUCUUGCCUCUCCCCAUAGCAGAAUCAGGGUCUGCUGGGCGGAGGGGAGGGCCGGCCGGGCCGAAGCAAUGCUGGGGUGGGGAUACAGCACUCAGUCACUCACAAUGCCUCCCUGUUGCAGCCUGGGGGAGCAGAGACCAGAACCUGUCCCGGGACUCAAGGGUGCGGUACACUGUGCCCCCGUGAUUGUCCCAGGAAGCAUGCCCAGCGGACAUUCUUGGGGCGGCACGUGCUCUCUGCCCCGCUUCACUGCCUACCCCAGCGUCCGUCCCCACGGAAACAAACAAGAUAUUCCUGAUCAACAGCAGAGCCUUAACUUUACUCCCUCUUUACGGUGAGCUAAUCCAGCUCCCCCGUAUAGCUAUUCCCUAAUGAUCUCAUGUGACUUCUGCCAAUAAAAGUGCGGGCUGGAAGGAGCCAUUUUGUUUUCCUGCCAUGGAGAGCAGGAGGGCUCCCUGACUCCCCGCUGGCCAAAUUA